GAUGAACGCUAGCUACAGGCUUAACACAUGCAAGUCGAGGGGCAUCAGUUUGGUUUGCUUGCAAACCAAAGCUGGCGACCGGCGCACGGGUGAGUAACACGUAUCCAACCUACCUCAUACUCGGGGAUAGCCUUUCGAAAGAAAGAUUAAUAUCCGAUAGCAUAUAUUUCCCGCAUGGGUUUUAUAUUAAAGAAAUUCGGUAUGAGAUGGGGAUGCGUUCCAUUAGUUUGUUGGGGGGGUAACGGCCCACCAAGACUACGAUGGAUAGGGGUUCUGAGAGGAAGGUCCCCCACAUUGGAACUGAGACACGGUCCAAACUCCUACGGGAGGCAGCAGUGAGGAAUAUUGGUCAAUGGACGCGAGUCUGAACCAGCCAAGUAGCGUGAAGGAUGACUGCCCUAUGGGUUGUAAACUUCUUUUAUAUGGGAAUAAAGUGGUCCACGUGUGGACUUUUGUAUGUACCAUAUGAAUAAGGAUCGGCUAACUCCGUGCCAGCAGCCGCGGUAAUACGGAGGAUCCGAGCGUUAUCCGGAUUUAUUGGGUUUAAAGGGAGCGUAGGCGGAUUGUUAAGUCAGUUGUGAAAGUUUGCGGCUCAACCGUAAAAUUGCAGUUGAUACUGGCAGUCUUGAGUGCAGUAGAGGUGGGCGGAAUUCGUGGUGUAGCGGUGAAAUGCUUAGAUAUCACGAAGAACUCCGAUUGCGAAGGCAGCUCACUGGAGUGUAACUGACGCUGAUGCUCGAAAGUGUGGGUAUCAAACAGG
rnacentral:rRNA from 1 species